rnacentral:lncRNA from 1 species
CACGAUACUAGUGUGACCCUUUUCCAUGAUGCAAGAAUUGUCUCCCUGUAUCGACCUUUUCCACUUCCCGUCCAAAUGUAAGGCAUACGAAAAACAAAUUUCUUUUAAAAAUCUAUGUCAAUCUGCUAUUUUUUGUGAUCAUGAUGCGUGUUAAACCUAAGUUAAUUGUAUAAAGACUGAUUAACUAUCAAGUAGAUGUAUAUAUAUGAACUCACAAGGAUUUAAUAAUCUUGUGUCGAAGUUGUGAGAGGCAAAUGUCAAACGCUGAGAUAUAUUUGGUAACCGUGAAGGGUUAUGCUGAAAAAUGAUUGGGGUUCCAGUUUUAUAAGUCAUUUUCCAUCUGUGACUGAUGGGUUCCCUUAAUAUAUAUAGUAGAUACUUUACCAGCCGUAAGUUACGAAGUGGUUGAGCUCUCGGAAGUUUUGCGCCCCAUCCUGGGUUUGUAUCAGCACCGUCACUCAUGUGUCAAAGCAGAACUAAAUUCUUACAAUUCACCAGUAUGGGAUAUCCAAUUUGCAGGUAUACUAUCCCGAUUAAUUUCGAAGUGGUUUCCAUUCCUUUUAAAUAUACAAUUCCUUGGCACAACCCAGUCUUCUUUGUUAUAAUUUAUAGACUUACAUUUACAUGAUGUACUUUGUGAUGGUACAUGUAUCAGGUCCGUUCGCGACCAAUACACUUUCGCACCCUACAUGUUCGCACCUCACACAUUCACACCCAAUUUAAAAUCGAGUUAACUUCCAGUUGAAUAAUUAGAAAAUCAUGAUUGUUUUAAAUUGCUGUAUUCUGUAGGUGUCGCUGUUGACACUGGAUUGUCUCCCUUGUAAUUAUUCAAGUCUCGCGUGUAUAUAUAUUUCACUCUGGUAAACAACUCGCUUGUACUUUAAAAUAUAUACUAUAUAUAUAAUUAUAGUCCCAGAUUACUCUGACGUCCCACGGCUGUUUUGCCAGACAAGCUGGGGCCGUCAGAGCUCGUCCCAUAUCAAAGAGUGCAGAACUCCAGAUUAGCUGCGUAUUUGCGUGAUCACGCAAUACAAAUAAUAAAAAACCCAAUGCAAUUACCCAUUGCAGGGUUCAAUAACCCAAUUAAUUCAAAGGAAAACCCAAUUAUAUUCCAAAACCAUGAGUUCUCAACCCUUUUAUUGGCUACCAUUUGCGUUAUUUACCCUUAACUGUUUACAGUCGUCGCGUAAACUAUUUUUAUAAUAUUUAUAAUUGGAAAUUUCCUUUCGUUCUAAAAAUAGAUCCCUGCAUCAAGUAGCUGAAAUGGGUCCCUGUUAGAGUUUUUCGUUGCUCAAUAGGUACACGUGUUUUUGAAAACAUUUCGAUCUUCUCGGGGUUUAUCCAAUUAGCGUGUGUCAUAAAGUCAUAUUUUUUUAGCAUUGCUCAGGAUUAAUCAUAACAUACCAGAGAUGCAAACAGUUUUUUUUUCCUGUUAGACAAUGGGGCCUACAGGGUACCAAGUUUUGCCAGACCCAUAUUUUCACUCAAAAAUCAAAUGAAAUUAUGCUAUUGAACAAACGUUAAUUUUGAUUUUGUUGAUAUUAUUAUUAUUUUAAAAUAACCUGUGAUUCAUAACAAUUAUAGUUUAUUGACCCACUUACAAAUUUUAUCGGCCAUGACAUAUUUCCUGAACUUAUCAACUAUGCUUAAUAGACCUCCUUCCUAGAGAGCGAAUUUCUAAAACAAAGAACAUGACGGAAAUACGGAGAAUUGUUCGGGACGAGAUGGACAAGGUACAAAAGACUAUUACUGGGCGGAAAUACUGGUUCACGGAGUUAGAAAAUGCGGGGGAACAGGACAUUUACUUUUAUUAAAGAUGAUCGCAAUUUUAUAAACAAAAUACUCUGCCGGGGCCGACAGGGAUUUCAGUUUUGGCGGACCCAAGCGGACUUAAAUAUUGCCGGCCAUCAGGUCCUGCACAGCUACGAGUUUUGCCGGACCUGCAUAAAUUCUGCCCCUUAGGUCCGACGGGUCUGACGAUUAGUUGCAUCUCUGACAUACAUUGAAUUAAAACAAAAGUGAAUGUCCGGUAAAAAUAUUGAAUAGAAGCAUGUUUUCUGCUUCUUUUGAAAAGCUUAGGGAAAGUUAUGAUAAUAACAAGACUCAUCCAGUGUUUUAAGGGUAACGUCCAUCGAACACACGGGCGUGUGUACGUACCUUAACAAGAACAUUGCUAAUAAAAGCAGGGUUUCCUCAAAAACGAAAUCAGUUGGAAAGAUGAAAGGCCAAAUCAAUUAUGACAUGAUAAAGCAUCAUCAGAAACCAAAAGUUUUAAUAAAAGACAACUAACCCAGAUUUAUGAAAAUUGGAAUAAAACAAAAACAUUCAAGUAUAAUUAUAUACUAUUUUAUUUUUCAUUUUACGGUUAAUUAAUGAAUACACACACAGGCACUGGUCUCAGAAUUUAUUGUAUAAAGGCAUAAGACGAGUGCCUGCGAAUACACAUAUCCGUUUUUUUUACAGUUUAUAUGAGAAAAUACAAAACUGGCAGAAGGUUUGAAACGGAACACAAAUUAAACCUACAAUUGCUUCUCAGUCAAUAAACCAAAUAAAACAGCUAGCAAAUAACCCUAAACCAAAUAAAACAGCUAAACAAAGAAAGAAACAUAUUUAUAUUCAAUAUUGUGUUGAUGAAAAAACCCAAUACAUUAAGGAGCUUGGUGGUGAAAAACCCAAUUUGAUAUUAACAUGAGGGGUGAAUUGGAAUUUAUAAUGCAAUUAAAAAACUUUAUCACCCAAUUAUAUAAGAAAAUGGUGGGUAAAAAACCCAAUUUGUGAAUUCUUAUCUGGAGCUCUGAAAGUGGAUAUUUGCCCACCCUAAAUAGAUGCGCUGCUUCGUCGCUUCUGGUGCCAAUUGAGGGCCUUGGAAUUAUAUAAAUCGGGCAUCAAUCUGUUCAUUUUUCAUUUAUCUCUUUAUUUAUGUAAGUUUCACCUACCUACCAAUCUUUAUUUUUACCAUAUUUUAAGAGUUUUCACAGAGACCCAUUGAUUUAUGCAUUUUGACUUUCAUUUUCAAACAUUAUCAUGUGACCACGAGAAAACAGUGCAAAUGACCAUAAUGUAAACACCUCGUUCAUUUACGAUGCAAGUUAUCUAAAUGUCUGAGAGCUUCCAAUUGUUAUCGUGGUCGGAACUAAAUGCUUAAUACCGAUCUCCUGUAAAGGAGGUGAAAAAUUGUGGUUGGCUUCUAAAUGUUAAACAUCGAUCUCCUAUUAAGGAGAUGAAAAAAUAUAAAUAUUUGCAUAUUUGAGUCUCGAGGCCACAAACUCUCUCGUAACUUGACAUCCAUUUGAAAGUGAAAGUCAAAAUGCAGAAAUCGAUGGGUCUCUGUGAAAACUGUUAAAAUAUGGAAAAAUAAAGGUUGGCAGGUAGGUGAAACUUACAUAAAUGAAAAAUGAACAGAUUGAUGCCCGAUUUAUAUAAUUCCAAGGCCCCCAAUUGGCACCAGAAGCGACGAAGUAGCCCAUCUAUUUUGGAUGGGCAAAUAUCCACUUUUUGAUAUGGGACGAGCUCUGACAUCCCUGGGCCCAGCUUGUCUGGCAAAACAGCCGUUGGACGUCUGAGUAAUCUCGGACUAAUAUAAAUACUGCAUGUAUUUAGCUUCGUAUGAGAAAUUGAGUAAAACAUUGAAAAUUUUAAAUGAAAAACACGAAAGAUAAUUGUUUGAUCUGAAACAAUUAACUGACAAAAAAGUAUAGCAAUACACUAACCAAAAAUGAUUAAAAUUUAAUAUUUAUUCCACCCAAAAAAAUUCCUGUUGUCAGAAUCUCUAUUUAGAAACAAUGAUUAAAAAUAUUUUAACAAUACACUAUCCAAAACAUGAUUAAUAUUUAUUCAACACAAAAAACAUGUCUCACUUUAUUUUGAGACAAUAACAACAAAUAUACUAAAAGGAAUACACUUGCCAAAACUUGGUUAUAAAGUUAUUAAACACAAAACCAAUAAAAAUUGGGGGCGAACGUGUAGGGUGCGAAAGUGAAACUCAAAGGGUGCGAACAUGAAAGGGCGCGAACGGACCCGGAUUUGUUUGUGAUGUGUGUUUUUGAAUAAACAUGCUGUCUAGUUGUAUAUCCCAUAAUUUGAAAAAAAAUUGGGACCAUUUUAUGCAGAAACUGAUAAUUUUUCGAACAUUUUUCCUUGUAUGCAUGUGUACUCGAAUCCGACACUUGCUAGAUUUUGUUAAAUUUCAUGAUAUGAACCAAUAUAUAUAUUGCUGACAGUAUUUUAUUGUUUUCUCUAACUAACACCAUUCAAUAUUAAGAAAUAUUUGAUUUAAAAAUUUCACACCCAAUCUUAUAUUUGACAUCUCAAAAACCAUAAAAGGAAGGUUGGGUUUGAUUUUGGGAGUUUUGGUCCCAACAGGUUUUUAGGAAUAAGGGGCCCAAAGGGUCAAAAAUUUAAUAAUUGGGGUUCUUUGAUAUGCCAGAUCUAACUGUGUAUGUAGAUUCUUAAUUUUUGGUCCCGUUUUCCAAUUGGUCUACAUUAAGGUCCAAAGGGUCCAAAAUUAAACUUAGUUUGAUUUUAACAAAAAUUGAAUCCUUGGUAUGCUGAAUCUAAAAAUGUACUUAAAUUUUUGAUUAUUGGCCCAGUUUUCAAGUUGGUCCAAAUCGGGGUCCAAAAUUAAACUUUGUUUGAUUUCAUCAAAAAUUUAAUAAUUGGGGUUCUUUGCAAUUGAUAUGCCAAAUCUAACUGUGUAUGUACAUUGUAGAUUCUUAAUUUUUAGUCCCGUUUUCAAAUUGGUCUACAUUAAAUACCAAAGGGUCCAAAAUUAAACUAAGUUUGAUUUUUAAUAAAAUUUAAUUCUUUGGCUUUUUUGAUAUGCUGAAUUUAAUCAUGUACAUGUACUUGGGGAUUUUGAUUAUGGGCCCAGUUUUCAAGUUGGUUCAAAUCAGGAUACAAAAUUAUUAUAUUAAGUAUUGUGCAAUAGCAAGAAAUUUUCAAUUGCGCAGUAUUCAGCAAUAGCAAGAAAUCUUCAAUUGCACAGUAUUGUGCAAUAGCAAAAAAUGUUCAAUUGCACAGUAUUGUGCAAUAGCAAGAAAUCUUCAAUUGCACAGUAUUGUGCAAUAGCAAAUAUUUUCAAUUGCACAGUAUUGCGCAAUAGCAAGAAAUAUCGAAUUGCACAAUAUUGUGCAAUAGAAAGAAAUUUUCAAUUGAUUGGAGUUAUCUUUCUUUGUCUAGAAUAGUAGUUGAAUCAACUUAAAUCAUUGUUUUAUACAAUGCACAAUGUAUAUUCACUUUUAGUUUUACUACCAACUGAUAAAUUAAAACACUCUUUACCAUUCAGUGAUAACAAGCACUUUUUGUUACAUUUUAAUAUUUUAUGAUGUAUUUAAAUGAGUAGUUAUUGUUGCAAACUCCAUUAGAAAUUUGAAUUGAGAUCAGUUUUGAAAAAAGGGAAAGGGGGAUGUGAAAAAAAAAAUGGUGGGGGGGGGUUAAUUUUUCUCAUUUCAGAUUUCAUUAAUAAAAAGAAAAUUUCUUCAAACAUUUUUUUGAGAGGAUUGAUAUUCAACAGCAUAGUGAUUGCUCAAAGACAAAAAAAAUAUUUUAAGUUCAUUAGACCACAUUCAUUCUGUGUCCAAAACCUAUGCUGUGUCAACUAUUUAAUCACAAUCCAAAUUUAGAGCUGAAUCCAGCUUGAAUGUUGUGUCCGUACUAGCCCAAACCGUUCAGGGUUCAACCUCUGCGGUCGUUUAAAGCUGCGCCCUGCAGAGCAUCUGGUUUGGGGUUAAAACAUUAAAGGUUCCUAAAAAUCUGGAGGCCUGCAAGAUGACUUAAUUUGUUUAAAAUUGGUAUGAACGAAUACUGUUACAUGUACAUGUACAUUUUUGUAAUGCAGUACAAGCUAAUGUUUUUUUGUCACAUAGAUAUAUUAUAAUGACAUUUUUGUCCAGAAUCUGUAUUGUACCUUUGAUAUUUGUUCACUUACAUUGUAGAUACAUGAAAUUAACUGAAAAUUGUAAAUCAAUACAUUUUCUUUAGAAACAAUAGCUUGUGCUGCAUUACAACUUGCAGUAUUAAACAUGCUGUUUUCACUUUUAUGCAGGCAAAGUUUUGAUGUUUAUGCAGUGUCCUAUAUUUUGACUUUAGUAGAACCUUUAUCAUUAAAGAGGAUUUAAAGCCAGUUGUUUGUGUCAUGAUGGUAUUACAUGUACAUGUAUGAACAGGUUCAGGACAACCUGCCAAAUGGGGAAGUAUAAAGUCCGAGAUUACCCUGAUGUGGAAUGGAAUGGCUGUUUUGCCAGACAAGCUGGGGCUGUGGGACCAGCUUGUCUGGCAAAACAGCCCUCAGACAGAGUAAUCUCGGACUAGGAACUUAUACAUGUAAAUGUACAUGUAUGAGUAUACAUGUAAAUGUACAUGUAUGAGUAACAAUCACUCAUCUGAGUAUUUGGUAGUACUAAAGAAACAUAAUUUUCAUGAAUAGCUCAUCUUUAUCUACUUAGAAGUUACAAGUCUAUGAAAACUUUGAAAAAUUGACAAUUUUCAAGGCCACUUUCAGUGUAGAAACCCAUAUUAAAAAUGAGAUUAAGAAUAAGUUGAUUUAUAAUAUGAAGUGGUCUUCUCAAACAUCUCUCUCAACUUUGUAUUUUGUAGAGAUCAGAAAGGGGAAGAUCAUUCAAAAUGGUAAGUAUCUAAUACUUAAGGCAUUAUCUAUUGUCAUGAGCUCCCUUUUGAUUUUUAAAUUUAAGAUUUUACUUUUCCAAGUUGAAUUUUUAUGCUCCCGCUAUAGCAGAGGGGGCAUGAAGUUUUACCCUAGUCUGUCUGUACGCCCCAAAGUUGGUGUCUGUUCUCUAACUUUAGUUUGCCUCUCCAAAUGUUAUGAAACUAAUACACAAUGCUCAUUAUCACUAAAUACAGAUUAUGUUUGAAUUUAUGUGUAGUCACUUACCGUUUAAGAGUUAUGCCCCUUUACAAAUCGAAAAAUUUAGCAUUUCUGUUCUCUAACUAAAUAUUCCCUCAACCAAAUGUUAUGAAAUUUGUACACAAUGUCUGAUUAUUAUGUGUUUUACUACAAUAUACAGAUCAAGUUUGAAUUUAGGUGCUGUCACUUGUACUGUUCUAGAGUUAUAUAAAAAAGAAGAUGUGGUAUGAUUGCCAAUUCAAUGAGACAACUGUCCACAAGAGACCAAAAUGACAGACAUUAACAACUAUAGGUCACCGUACGGCCUUCAACAAUGUGCAAAGCCCAUACCGCAUAGUCGGCUAUAAAAGGCCCCGAUAUGACAAUGUAAAAUAAUUCAAACGAGAAAACUAACGGCCUUAUUUAUAUAGUAAAAUGAAUGAAAAACAAAUAUGUAACUCAUAUAAACAAACGACAACCACUGAAUUACAGGCUCCUGACUUGGAACAGGCACAUACAUAAAUAAUGUGGCAGGAUUAAACAUGUUAGCGGGAUCCAAACCCUUCACCUGGGACAGUCGUACAACAUAAGAACGAACUAUAAAAAACAGUUGAAAAUUAACUCAUCAGAUGGACAAAAAUACAAGUGAACUUGGCUGGGUACUUGUACAUCCCGACAACAAAAAGACGCAAUGAACAGAUCUGAGAGUACUCACAGUUAUCUGACAGCUAGUUCAAAGCCACUUACAACUAAUAAAAAAAUCAUGCAUCGAAUACUAAAUUAUGCCCUUUUCAAAUGGAAAAAUUUCAAAAAUACAUGUAUCAAUCAAGAAUAUAAAAAAAAAAUUGGAGUUAUCUUCCUUUGUCCAUAAUUACAGUUGAUUCCAGUCUGCACCAAAAACUUUUUCAACUACUAGUCCGAAGACCAAUAUUUUGACAUUUUUCUUAUUGGGCAAAACAAAAUUUUGCAAAAACUUACUAGUCUGAAUGAAAUUGUACUAGUCUGGGGCAUCGGACUAGUGGCUAACCUUGCAGACUGGAUUCAACUGCAAUCAAUGCUUUUUAGCUCCAAGUGAGCUUUUCUCAUCACUUGGCGUCCAUCGUCAUUAACUUUUAGAAAAAUCUUCUCCCCUGAAACUUCUUGGCCAAAUUUAACCAAACUUGGCCACAAUUAUCAUUGGGGUAUCUAGUUUAAAAAAAGGUGUCCAGUAACCCGGCCAACCAACCAAGAUGGCCACCAUGGCUAAAAAUAGAACAUAGAGGUAAAAUGUAGAUUUUGGCUUAUAACUCUGAAACCAAAGCAUUUAGAGCAAAUCUGACAUGGGGGUAAAAUUGGUCAAGAUCUAUCUAUCUGCCCAGAAAUUUUCAGAUGAAUUGGACGUUAGGUUGCUACCCCUGAAUUGGUAAUUUUAAGGAAAUUUUGCUGUUUUAAUACGACCGCAAAAUUAUGCGGUCAUAUAUUGGUAUCACGUCGUCAGCAGCGUCUUUACAAGACGAAUGGUUUCCGGAUAAUAACUUUAGUUAAUUAGUAUAAGUAAAUAGAAAUCAAUAAAAUCUUAACACAAUGUUAAUAACCACAAAAGAAAGGUUGGGAUUGAUUUUUGGGGGCUAUGGUCCAAUUGGAUAAUUUAGGGAAAAGGGGCCCAAAACAUACAUUUAUCUAGUUUCAGGAUAAUAAGUUGUAUAUAAGUAUUGCAGUUUAAGUAUUUCAAUUGCUCUGAAAUUGUACCACAAUGUUCAUACCAUUAAGUAGAAGGUUGGGAUUAAUUUUAAGUGUUAUGGGGGCCUUGGGGCACACUAAUUCCUAGACUGUGUGCCCCAUAACCCUUAAAAUUAAUCCCAACCUUCUACUUAAUGGUAUGAACAUUGUGGUACAAUUUCAGAGCAAUUGAAAUACUUAUACUGUAAGAAAUUCGAAUUGAGAUUAAUUUUGAAAUAAGGGAAAGGGGUAGGUGAAAAAAAAGGGUGGUAAAAUUUUUCUCAUUUCAGAUUUCAGAAAUGUAAAAGAAAAUUUCGUCAAAUAUUUGUUUUGAGGCGACAUAUAUUCAACAGCAUAGUGUAUUGCUCAAAAGCAAAAAAAAAUGUUAAGCUUAUUAGACCACAUUCAUUCUGUGUCAGAAACCUAUGCUGUGUCAACUAUUUAAUCACAAUCCAACUUCAGAUCUAUAUCAAGCUUGAAUGUAGUGUCCAUACUUGCCCCAACUGUUCAGUAAUGCAUAUAAUUUUUUUCGCAAGAGAAUUCUAUAAUAUGUCCACAUUUAGAAGAAUUUGUUUGUUUUCUAGUUGUUGCUUCCAGUAAACAAUUCACCCAUAUGUUUUCAGUAUGCAGCGAACUAGAAAACGAAUUCUUUUUAAUUUGGACAUAUAGAAUUCUAUGCAUAAGUUUUAUUAUAAAAACUAGAUUUGAAGUUUCAUGACUGUCCACUGAACAUAGAAAUUUAUAGUUGGCAUCUUUGUACUAUGGACACAUUCUUAUGAUCUGUGCUUUUAUAAUCACACUGAUAUUGUUUGCCUUAAAUACCAUACAAAUUUUGGCUUUUUCCCCUAGAGAAAAUUCCUAAUAAUGAAUUACUAAAAUAAAUGGCAUAAAAUUCCAAGUUUUACUUUUUUCUCAAACAGUGAUUGAAUCGGUAGUAAUGCAUGUAAAUUUUGUAUGCAUGGUAUUGUUUAAAUAUUAUGAAAGCACUAGUACUUAUGAGAUCCGGGUUUCUGAUUAAAAUCAUCAAGUCAUUUGUAACACAUGGUUUUCAAUGUAUUAAGUACCUUCAUUGUUUCCAUUUCUAUGUAUAUAUGUAUCUCAUGUACUUGAUCAAUCAACUAAAGACUUAUAAAUAUCAAAAACAGUUUGAACCAUUUGAUUAACUUAAAUCAACAAGAGUAACAUUCAUAGUCCGUGGAGGAAAAUGUAUAAAACUGUUGCAAAUUGAUCAUUAGAUCAAAGUAACCCAGAACAAGAUGUUUCCUAUGAUCAGUGAACCAUAACAGAAAGCAAUAAAGGUUUUACUCUGUUUAAGGAUUUAAUUUUAUUUUUAGCCUAAGCAGAUUAUGGAAAUCAAAGACUUCCUGCUAACAGCCAGGAGAAAGGAUGCUAAAUGUAAGUUAAUCUGGGUUGUUAUAGAAGUGGAAGAUUAAA